CGCCGUUGUCUUCUGCCGUCUCCUUCCCUUCUCUCUCUCGCCGAUCUUGCCUCUUGCCUGGGAGAUCUCCUUGCCUGAACCUCAGCGCCGGACGCAAGCUUCGUACCGAGGCCCUGCUGGUACCUAGCGUCAGUAGCUUGUUGCUUCCUGCCCCAUUCCCGGAUUCAUGGUUUCUGCUUUGGUUCUGCUACCUCGCUUAGUUCGUUUGUUGCGUGAAUCUUGGUUUCUUCAGACGCUGUUUACAUACAUACAUAUUGUGCCGAUCGACAGGUGAAGGGAAUUGACCGAGAAGUGCUGCUGCCAAAAGAUGGGCACCAGGAAGUGGCUGAGGUCGCGCUGCAGCUGGGGAAGUACUGCAUAGAUGACCCCGUCAAGUCCCCGCCGGGCGGACGGAGGAUGGUUAUUCGUACUGCCAAAAGAAUGGGAGGUUGUGUACUGCUCGGUGCCAACCUCGCCGGGCGGGCUCUACCGGACGCCCUUGGCCGCCUGGUAUUCAAAACCGACGAGAUGGUCCAGGCGGUGGAAGCGCCUGACGUGGUCAGGAACAAGGUGUCGUUCUCCGUCUUUGGCCUAGAGGGCGCAGUGUCAUUGAAAGGUAAGCUGAAUGUGCUGGACAGUAAAUGGAUUCAGGUCGUGUUUGAAGCGCCGGAACUGAAGGUCGGCUCCUUGGGGUUUCAGUACGGUGGCGAGAGCGAAGUCAAGCUGGAGAAGGGAAGGAGAUGGGAGAAGACAACAGCGCGCGGACGGAGGAUAGUUAUUCGUUCUCUCAACGAUUAAUAUCGAUUGUCAGUCUAUUUCAGAGUGGAGUCUUUCCCCUGGUUUUUCAUAUCGUCGAAACCCUCGCCAACACCUCCAUUUCGUCGAAGCCACAUCCGCGGCGUUUCAUAAUCGCAAAAGUCUCCUCCCUCCCACAGCCACAGUCCCCCCAUGGCUGCGACUGCAACCUCCUACGAGCGCCGCCUGCUCGCGGCAGCCGACCUUGUCCUCUCCGCCGACGCCCAGGACAAAGGAAUCCGCCUCCCGGACCUCGGCGUCACGGCCGACCUCAAGCCGCACCAGCUCCAUGGCGUCGCCUGGCUCAUCCGCCGCUAUCGCCUCGGCGUCAACGUCGUACUCGGUGAUGAGAUGGGGCUUGGCAAAACCCUACAAGCGAUUUCUCUAUUGAGCUAUCUCAAGAUCCACCGUAUUGCACCUGGACCAUUUCUGGUCUUAUGUCCUCUAAGCGUCACAGAUGGGUGGCUGUCAGAAUUCAGUAAAUUCUGUCCUUCCUUCAGGGUGAUGCAGUAUGUAGGUGGUAAGCUUCACCGCCGUGACCUUCGGAGGACCAUCUAUGAAGAUGUACAGAAAGCUUCCACAUCAUCUCGAUCCUUUGAAUUACCAUUUGAUGUGCUCAUGACAACGUAUGACAUAGCCUUGAUGGAUCAAGAUUUCCUUUCACAAAUCCCCUGGCACUAUGCAGUUAUUGAUGAAGCUCAACGUCUUAAAAAUCCAUCCAGUGUGAGCAGACACUUAAUCUUUGUACUGUAUAAUGUCCUUGAGCAACGUUUCAUCAUGCCAAGACGUCUACUACUAACAGGCACACCUAUCCAGAACAAUCUUUCUGAAUUAUGGGCUUUGAUGCACUUUUGUUUGCCUUCAAUAUUUGGAAAGCUGGAUGAGUUCCUUUCUACAUUUAAGGAAGCAGGGGAAUCACUGACAGGUGAUGAAGCUAAUAAAGCAAAAGGCCAAUUCAAGAUCAUUAAACAUGUACUCAAGGCAUUUAUGCUACGUAGGACAAAAUUUUUACUAAUCGAGAGUGGAAUUCUGGCGCUGCCUCCACUAACUGAGCUAACAGUGAUGGUGCCGUUGACACAGUUACAAAAGAAGCUUUACAUGUCAGUGUUGCGGAAAGAGCUGCCAACACUUAUUUCAUUUGCUAGAGGAUCAUCUCGCCACCAGUCUUUGCAAAACAUUGUUAUACAACUGAGGAAAGUUUGCAGUCACCCAUAUCUGUUCAGUGGCAUUGAACCUGAGCCUUAUGUGGAAGGGGAACAUUUAAUUCAGGCUAGUGGAAAGCUCAUUGUCCUAGAUCUUAUCCUGAAGAAGCUCCAUGAAUGCGGACAUCGUGUUUUGCUAUUUGCUCAGAUGACCCAGACACUGGACAUUCUUCAGGAUUUUCUAGAGCUACGCAAUUACACUUAUGAGCGCCUGGAUGGUUCAGUACGUGCUGAGGAACGGUUUGCAGCAAUAAGAAAUUUCAGUUCUCAAUCUACAAAAGGUCUUAUCAGAGAUGAUAAUCGAAGUGAAGCAUUUGUUUUCAUGAUAUCAACUAGAGCAGGUGGUGUGGGGCUUAAUCUCAUUGGUGCCGAUACUGUUAUAUUUUAUGAACAAGAUUGGAAUCCUCAAGCUGACAAACAGGCUCUACAGCGCGCUCACCGCAUUGGACAGCUGAAUCAUGUCUUGUCAAUAAAUUUGGUGUCACAGCGCACAAUUGAAGAGGUCAUAAUGCGAAGAGCCGACAGAAAACUUAAGCUUAGCCAUAAUAUUAUUGGAGAAGAAGACGGGACUGAUGGGAAGGGAGGAGAUCCAGGAAUUGAAGCUAGUGACAUGAGAUCAAUUAUCUUUGGCUUGCACCUGUUUGAUCCAGCAGAUACAGCUACAGAAACAAUCGAUGAGGAUAUAACUGCUGAGACAUUCAGUGUCGAGAAACUGGCAAAGUUAAAAACAAUGUCUGAAAAGGUUGUCAUGAUGCGUAGCCAUGAGUCUUCUGAAAAGGAUGAACGAGCAUUUGAGAUCAAUCCAAAUAUGACUGAUGACAGUGGAACUGUGAUUAGAAGGGCUUCUGAUUCUAUCCGCAUUGAUCCUGGGCUAAAUGAAGCUGCAUACCUAUCCUGGGUCAAGAAGUUCAAAGAGGCUUCCAUUUCUAGUGAAGAUGCCACAGUUGGAUUUGGAAGGCAAAGAGCAGCGCCUGAAGAAAAGCUCCUGAAACAUGAUGUUAACAAGCAAAAAAUAGAAGAAAAGAGAUUGGCCAAAUGGGAAAGUUUGGGUUACCAGACACUAGCAGUUAAGGAACCUGAUAUCACAGCAAGCCAGAAUAUUUCAGACGCGGGAUCCAUCCAAUUUGUAUAUGGAGAUUGUACUAAUCCUUCAAAAGUUUGUCCCGCAAAGCCUGCCAUCAUAUUCAGCUGCAUAGAUAAUUCUGGGACUUGGGGGCAUGGAGGGAUGUUUGAUGCUUUGACUAGUCUGUCGACAUGCAUUCCAGAUGCUUAUCACCGUGCUUCUGAAUUUGAUGAUCUCCACAUGGGCGAUCUUCACUUGAUUCAGCUUGAUGUAGCUUACUUUAGGGGCAGACCUGGUGGAGUGGUGAGAGCUGACUCACUGAGUCACGGGUUUCGAAACAGCCUCUCAGCAUUUGCAGGAAAAUGCUUGUUUCGGUUUAUCCCUUGUGAAGACUCUACUCAUGUGUGAUUACUUUGACAAGAACCUGUCCUCCGUGUCUUCAUUUCAUUUGCAUCCUUACUGCAGAAGGCAACUGUACCCGGAGUUUGGAUGCACCUUUAUGGGUUGCACUAGCUAUCGUUCAGUCUUACAAUCCGAGGCGUAAAGUUCCGAGAAGUGAAAUCUCCAUGUCUGAUUUGGAGCUCUGUAUAUCAAAAGCAGCCUUCUCAGCUGCUCAGCAUUCUGCGGCUAUCCACAUGCCCCGAAUUGGUUACCAAGGUGGCUCCCAACGAUCAGAAUGGUAUACAAUAGAACGCCUGCUCAGGAAACACUCAUCUCUCCAUGGAAUCGACAUUUUUGUAUACUACUUUCAGCGACGACAGACAGAUUGCCAGAUUGUAACCCAGGUAGGUCAUGCUGACGAUUCGACCCAAGCGUAGGGAUGUCUCUGUAAAAACCCACUACAUCAGAAGAAUCUGGGAUUAUGUGUAGCUAGCUGCAACAAUUUGUCUUUUCUUUUUCUUUUACUGCCCCUUCUCUCUGGGACCAAAACGCCUAUGAAUAGAUGAGGGAGCCAAAUGAAUUAGGUUUUAGUACAUUUAGCUAAGAGGUGUAUGUAUGUACAAGUGUUGUUUGCAUCUGCAGUCUCUUUUGAUGAAAAUCUAUGUGGCAUUUAUAUUGCUUGA